UAUCAGAGUGAACACACUUCACUGCGAGUUCUUCGUGUUUUGAUUUAGCGGCGAGGCCUUUAUUUAUCGAUGGUUUCAGCGUCAUAAAGCAUAACGAAUGUCGUCAAUACGGUUCAAUAAAGUCUAAUUAGCAUGCCCGCAUUAGGCUUGUAGUUGUCGUUAACUCAUUUAUUAUUAGUUAGUUCGUUUAGGUUAUGUGUCAAUAGGACGUCGUAGUGAUGCACGUAGUUUUGAGGUACUGGUUGUUGUGAGUCGUAAAGGACGAUUUAAAACAUUUGCGAGUACAGAAAUACGACAUGUGCAAUGCAGUUUAAGGUAUUGCGCAUUGUGAGAAGUAGCAGAAGUAAUUGACUUAGCGAGCCACAAACAAGUGCGAAAGGCGAUAACUUGGAAACAUUGCUCCAAUCAUUCAAUCAACGUUUUGAAUGCUAUAUACGACAUCAGUACAGGAGGUCACCAAAGGCUCAUACGCAUAAGAAUUCUUUUGGAAGAUAAAGUGAAUUCUUAAUUCCAAACAGUUUUUAUGGCCAUGACAUUUUAAGUGACUAUCAGACUUAAUAAAUCAUUGCGAAAGACUUCUGGUGGUAUUCAGCUU